CAGAGACUUGGCUGUCAGCACUGCACCACUGGAGGGUCUACCACGUGUUCUAAAUUGGUUAGACAUUAUUCCCAUUUGAAUUGCCUUCACUCCUGAGUCUCUGAGUGUCAGGUUCAAGCUGCUGACCGACGAGGUUCCUUAUGCUUGCGAACCAGUUAGAUUCUAUACACAUAUGAAUCUUCCCCAUAUUCGAAUAUCUGAAUGUCAGACUCAAGCUGAUGAUAUAUGAGGUAUGGUCCCCGCUGUAUCAAUCAAGUCCCAUUGAAAUAUUAAAACGUUGUUCAUACAUCUUUGAAUGACCUUUUAUGUGCUGACAAUAUGUUCUGAAAUGAAGAGAUUUUACCCCUGAUGAAGUCUUGGAACAAGACGAAACGCGUUGGGUUAUUUAUCUAUCUAUUAUCUGAUGUUACCUCCGAAUCUACAAUAAGGAGAAGGAGGAAAUCGUAGUGAUAUAUCUACGCUUUUUCCUCAUCACUACAAACUGAUUGUUCAAAUUGUGCGACAAAUGUAAAUGUAUCAACUCUGUAUACUUAUGAACAUUUGUGUCGGGUUUAUAUGUUGUUUUAAUAAAUUUUUAUGUUAGUAUUUGUUAUCUGAUGUAAUUUAUCCGGAGAGUACUGUAAGGGUCCGUUUUUAGGUAGGGCGUUGAUAUAACUCCCUUGGCGCCAUCUCCUCUAUUUCGUUUCAUAUUUCCACAUUUAGUUCCUCCUAACAGGGAACUUAGAGGAUACAGGCAGCCAUAUAAUUAAUUAAUUUUAGUGUUUUAUUUGAAAUAGCGCAGUGGGAGA